UUUUGGACAAUGGGGGCAACCCUGAUCCAGCGACGCCGCGUGUGUGAAGAAGGCCUGCGGGUUGUAAAGCACUUUUAGUGGGGAUGAAAAGUACAUCGCUAAUACCGGUGUAUCUUGACCUAACCCAAAGAAAAAGCACCGGCUAACUCUGUGCCAGCAGCCGCGGUAAUACAGAGGGGGCAAGCGUUGUCCGGAAUUACUGGGCGUACAGCGCGCGCAGGCGGACCGCCACGUGCCGUGUGACAAGCCACCGCUCAACGGUGGAGGGCCAGGGUACACGAGCGGUCUGGAGGCAGGGAGAGGGAUGUGGAAUGCCCGGUGGAGCGGUGAAAUGCGUAGAGAUCGGGCGGAACACCAGCGGCGAAGGCGGCAUCCUGGUCCUGUUCUGACGCUGAGGCGCGAGAGCGUGGGGAGCAAAC
rnacentral:rRNA from 1 species